CGUCUGUAAAAGUCCCUUGCAUGCACCUCUUGGCUUUGGGGACCGGUGAUUGUGCAGAAUUUCUGCAGUCUUAGCAAGUUUUGUCUCUGCUCUUCAUAGGAGCUGUAAGACUGCAUAGCAGCUCAAUAAAUGCUAUAGCUUUAUUUAUCUCCAUUCUGUUAAGUAAAGUUCCUGUCAUUUUCCUAACUGUGGUGUCAACACAGGUAGCCUAAUACUUGAGGAAAAGUGUUUCAGGCAGGUUGUAUUGGAGUUUCUUUCAUUUCUUACUGGCUUGCACGUGCUUUUGGUUUAGCCCUGUUAUAACAGAUACACUGGGGUCAUACAAUGUAUUUCAGCACCAGUGCCACACAUCCACUUAAUCCCUUUUCUCCAUGUUUUCUUAGUUUCAACCGCAGUUCCUGCUGAGAGGUGAAAGAAGUGUUUGAGCAGUAUACCAGUGACAGAGAGGUGACACUGCAAGAAAAAACAAAUUUUGUGUAUUCAUGUUUCAACAGUGAUUUACAUGGGACAUACAUCAUUGCUGCACAUUUCCAACAGUUUCUGGUAUACGUAGGGCUCUAACUAUAAUUUUAUAAGCUCUAAGUAAUUUUAUAAGCUUUUGACGCAGCAAUUAAAUCAACCUAGAAAUAGCAUGGCUUAAUAAGGUUCUCUUUGUAUGAUCUACAAAGUGUGUGAUUUAAUACAAGAAAGUCUAUGAAGUUUUAGAGUGUUUUUACUGUUAUUAUCAUAAGCUAUUUCCUAUUGAUUUGAUAAUAGAAAAUGAAUACUUAAUACUCACUUAGUGUUACAAAGUGCUUUACAAAACUAAUUAAUUUACACUUCAUUAGUUAAUUCUUUUUAACACAGACUUAAUGAUCAUUUAGACACAGUAAGAUCCAAAGUAUUUUCAGUUUCCAUAGCACAAUAUUUGUAUUGUAGUUCAGGAGUAGUUAAGGAUGAAUUUAAACAUCAUGUUUGUUUUCAGCCCAUUACUUGAUGCUGCAAGCAUGUGUUCACCUAAUCAUUUGUUGUUGUUAAGUGAAAUCAGUAGGACCACUUAUUAAAUGAAUAAUAUGUUUUAAGAUCAAUAUAAGCAGUAACUGAUACAUGAAUAAUGUAAUCUAAUGCAGCCCCUGGAUAAUUUUCAUACCCAAGAUGCAGAAUUUUGCUCAUACUACAUGCAUAGGCUUUCCUUUCCCCCUCAUCCUCCUUUUCUUUUUUUUUUUUUUUUUUCUUCCUUUCCAAUUCAGCUAGAAUGGAAAGAAUUGCCAUGCUGAAGACUAUCAAGCACAGUAUCCAGUUCCUAGGAGAUGCCAGCUACAGAUGCUAUAACAGAACAUUCAACACAAUAAUUAGGACAAUCUGCAUUUUUCCUCUGAUGCCCAAUAAUUAGCAAUUGUCUUUAGCCACAAAGUAACUGGCAUUUAGACCCAGUUUUUACAUCCAUUCUAAAUCUUCCUUUCUUAAUUCACACUAUAACGGAACAUUCCUGUAAUUAAUACAAAGUGCAAUCCCUUUUAAAUCUUCCAAGUCGUGUUUACUGGCAGUUCUUCUUGAAGUCUGUUUCUGUGUUGUACCUUUCAUAAGACUGCAAUUAGUUUUUUUUUUCAGUUUUGACUGCCUUGUUCUUAUCUUCUGAGACAAAGAGAACAGAAGUUCUUCCUUCAUUGUUUAUAUUUCUUAGCAUCUCCUUUGUGAUUAAUCUUUUUCCAAAUCAAUAGUCUUGGUAUUUUUAGUAUCUGUAAAUAUACCAUUCCUAGAUUUCACUCCUCAUUUUUUUUUUAAAUCAACUGACUAAUGAUGAACAAGAUUAAUGACAAUCACAUUGCCAAUUUUUAGACAUCUGUCUGAAUUUGAAAUGUUGGUUCCCCCCAAAAUCGGAGGGUUACAAUGAAUACAGAAGUUAGAAGCUUAAAAUUCAUUGUGUUAAUAAGGGACAGAAUAAUGAUUCUGUAUUUUUUAAUGGUUCUUAAAUAUAUUCCUAGAUUCCUCUUAUCUAAUUUCUUUUGAUUUUUGGAUUGCAGCAAUAUUUUCCAAGAGACUGUAUUUAGGUAUCUAUGAUGCAGCCCAGUUAAGUAGGAUGUUGUAUCAUGCCAUAGGUUUACUUGUAAGGAAAAUAUUUUGUGCUUAUUUCAUUUCCACAUAAUAAAGAAGCUCUUUCUCUUUUAACAUACAGUUUUUUUCAAACACGAAUUUACUGUCAUAAAAAGGUAAUUUUAUUUUUUUGCUUAAACAUUUGUUUGCAAAUUCUAAUGUAGGUUGUUUCUACUACAUAGAACAUAUUUACUAACAUUUUGAAUGGGAACAUCUAAAUAAAAUGUUCUUUGUUAAAGUAUUUAAUCUGAAUGUUAUUAAAUUUAUAUGAAAUAACAUACGUCUCUGAAUCAGGGAAAACCCUUGAUUUUAACUGCAAGGUGUCACAUAUUCCAUCACAGGGAAAACAUCCUGGAUGUUUUAACUUGCUCAGUUAAGGUACAUCAGUCAUCCCUGCUAAAGAACAUUAUUUCUUUUACAAAGGUGAUUUCAUAAAAACUUAAAAAUUAAUUGCCCAUGACCCUGAACCAUACUGUGUCCUGGCUGGCAUGGUAAACACUGUGGUUUGCAAACUGUGUUUUCCUUUUUAAAAUUUUUGCAACAUCAACUGUUACUGAUUAAAACAGGCUAGUUCUGCCAACUGUGUAGAGCAACAGGAAAAGAGCAGUCCCCACAGUCAAACAGGCAUAUACAUUUGCACCACUGUCUUUUAAGACACAAUUAAUUUAUUCACACUUUCCUAAAAGCAAUUAACAACAGGCAGGAGUUCUAAUGAAAUAAUGUGAUGAUUCCCCACAGGGACUAUUUGUAAUGAACAUUACAGAGUAGCAACUUCAAAGUGUUUACAUUAAAACGUGAUUAAUUACAAAGCCAUUAAGCUACAUAUUGGCUAAAAUGUAGACCCAAAUUUAGGGAUAUUUUAAUUAAGUAAUUGUGUUUAUUGGUAUAUUCCUUGCCUAACUAUAAUUUUGUUGAGGGGGUUGGCUUUUUUAGGAGGGUGGUGGAACUCUUUUCUUGCAAGAUCACCAGCAUUCAGCUCACUUCUUGCACAAGUGUCAUUUUCUACAAUGUAAUGGUCUAGUGAAGUGGGUUUGUAUUGAAACAUUUAGAUGUUUCAGUUAGAGUAAAUGUCUAUUUAUGGUAGUUACUUGGAGCUGUACAGAUGAGCUCUUAAGGGAAUUAACUUUCUGUUAAGGUUAAACAGAACUGUUAAACGUGCUGGUGGAAAUUGAGUUUAGGGAGCUUGUUAUAAAACCUGUCAAAAAUUUAACAAUCAGACUCUUAAUUUCUGCAUGGCUGAGCAUUGAAUCAAACAUGCUCAUUUGGAAAAAUAUUUUAUAAUUAAGGUUUUAUCAAAUGUCUGAUUUUAGUUUUGCUAUGUGUAACACUUUAUUCCAGGUUUCUUUGGUGAUUUAAAUAAAACCUUUGAGAUGUGGGCCUAGGAUUUUUCAUUGUUUAGAUGUUUAGUGUGUUUAGAUUUCAGAGAGUAAUAUGUAAUCUAAGUCCUGUUUUGCAAAACAAAAAGAACUGGUAGUUGUUAUAAUGGUGAAAUUAAAAAAUAUUCGGGGACCUUUAGGUAGAAUAAUUAUGGAGAAUAUAUGAAGUAUUUUCAAAGAAUUUAUGCCAGAAAGUGAGGUUUAUAGGAGCACAUAAGUGAGUUAGAAGAAAAAAACACAGUUUGAAAUCAAUGAGAUACAUGCUUCUAAGGAAUUAUUUAAUUAUUUUCUUCAGUACUUAAGAAAGUACUUUAAAAAGAAGUACUUUAAAAAAUGUUUUUAAAAAGUUUUAAAAAGUACUUUUAAAAAAAUGAAAUACCAUUUUUUAGGAGACUCUCAGAUGCUUUAUAAACUAUAUUGUGUGAUACAGUUUCAUAAGUGUUGGUAUCACUGAACUCAGAGAAGUAUUUGACUCCUCUUGCAUUAAGAUAUUGUUGCAAUUGAAAUUGUUACUUGUGUUCUAGUAACCUCAGUACUGAAUGUCAGACUUUUGAGUGAGGAUGUCUUGAUGUUUUAGCAGAUGGCUUGCAAUGCCAUUAAAAAUACUGUCUUUAAUCUGAUUCACUUUUUUCCCAUAGCAAGUUUUGAAAUCAGUAACAAUAACAAUGAUAAAUCAGUAAUCAAUAACAAUGAUAAAUGCUAUCUACUGUCUCAGUAUACUAAAUCUGCUUUCUUGAUUACAUUGUCUUGCUGAAGUGCUUUGAAAGCGUGACAUUUUAAGCAAGGAAUAAUACUGUUUUCAUUAUGAAAUCCCCCAAAUCAACAUAAUCAAGUAGUAAUUAACAUUUACAUAAGGUGACUUUCCAAAUCAGAAUUAAUUCUCUUAUCUUGGAUUCACAGUCUUUUUCUUUAUGUAAUACCCCAGCAUCUCAUGUGCAUGAGGAAAACUAGUUUUAAGGUACUUGGAGUUAUUUCUCUUGAGCACAUGACACAUUCACUUGCUUUUAGAACAGUUAUUCAAUAUAGGGAACAAAAAAGCUAGUGCUAGUGAAAAAUAUAAAUGAAAUAACAAUUGUGCUCUGCAUUAAAGUUAUAAAGACCAAGUAAAUAAUUUGGCCCGCAUGCAAUAAUACAUAAGAAGUGUAUUAUAAGAAGCAACUGAUGAUGAUCUCAGUGUAGUAAAUGAACUUAAUGAGGCUAUGCAGAUGCAUAUGUGCACACUGGUGCUUUUUCCACUGAAUUUAUUGAUCGUUGUGUUAUUUGUGCAACUUCAGACAUAAAAAGCUGUAUUUUAAAAAAUUCAUAAAAUCAUUUAUAUUUUUAGAACUUUACUGAUCCUAGUACUGGGAAGGUGAAAGAAGGACAUAACAGUUGUGUUCAUAGGCAAGCUCCUAGUUUUAGAUCAUCUCAGGAGAAGAUGGAUGGUUUCUGCUAGGACAUGUUAGCUGAAUGCAUUGGAUGAUUUAGUCUAUUAAUUAAUACUUCAAAUUUAAACUUGUUUCAAAUAUCUGGCCACUGACUCAUGUGAAACUUUUCUGUGCUUCCUUCAAGAUCCUGUUUUUCAUUUUCAUGAAGGUACUUGGCACACUAGUCAAGUCACUUGUCAAGCUUUUGAAAACCAGAAAUGAACCAAAAGGAAAAUCUCUGAAUAAACGGAUGUUUCAGAAUCAACAGGUGUGUAAGGACAGAAACUCUCCUCUCUCAAGAGCAACAGUGUGGAGGAAGAUGGCACACCAGCUCUAAGUUCAGGUACAAGGUCCCUGAUUUGACAAUCCUACCACUUGUGACAAACUAGAAAUACUGGACAUCUGCUUCUCAUAAGUUUAAAUGAAAAUUUCCACAAAUAAGUCAUACUAGAUCAACAAAAACUAGCCUGAUUGGGUUGUUUCAACAUUUCACUAUACAGUGGAAUUCAUCCAGCGUUUAACUCACAGAGCUGGUAAUUUUGUAUGUUUCCCAGUAUUUCUCAUUAGGAAACCUUAUUUUAGCACAUUUCUAAUUUUGCUAGAUUUAAUGUUGUUUGUUUUUCUUAGAGAGGGAUUCCAUGAGCUUUUUGAAUCUUGUUUUUAUUGCUAAAAUUUAUGAAAAUGCAUCAGUUUCUAACUAGUUAAGGAAAUAAAGGAAAAGGUUUUUCUUCAAAGGUAAAUAUUUCUAUUGACCCUCCCUGGAAAAACCUUGGUGCCACUGUAUUUGGAAGAGGGGUUGAAAAUGUGGCAGGAAGCAUGCCUUGAGUUUCUUUUCCAGUCCAAAGAAAUGUAACAUACGCAUUUGUAAAAUAUGCAAGUUAUGCAUUCUCAGAUGUUUUUCAGUUUUAUUCUUUAAAUAUCACUUCUGCACUAGACAGUCUUCUGUCCAACCCUAAGUGGUUUUAUUACUUUUGUUUACCAGUCUGCAGUAACUGCAGAGUAUGAUUGAUACUGAAAUAGGGACACUGGCUUUCCCAUGCAUUCGGUUAUUUCAGUUAGUCCAGUGAAUGUUCUUUGUAACUCUGGUUUUCAUCUGUGUUGAUGAAAGUAUGAGGUAUCAAUCCAUAGUCAUAGAAAACUGCAGUAGAUAACUGUGCUAUGGAUCUAAAGGUUUCAUCUCUUAUUACAUAUAUCGGUCACUUAGAUCAUGCCACAUAAUGGAUUUAAAAAAAAAUAAUUCCUAAAAGUUUGAAAGUGAUUUUGCAUACAAAUAUCUUGGAUGUGAUAUAUUCUGGUGUUAUCCCGGGCAUUAUAUAAUCCUGUAAACACCUCAGUUCCCAAGUACUAUUCUCCUUUAAAACAAUAUGUCAGUUUCUUAUAAUGUGUUUUAACUUGUUAUUCUGUACAGUAUACUUUUUGUCGCAGUGUUAUCAAGUUUCUCUUUUGAGAGAAGUGGAGAAAAACAAAAUAAAACUUCAGGGAGAUGGGAGCCAUCUGCCACUGUUCCAAAGAACACCAAGGGGAUUUCAUCACUUUUCUGUUUUUCAACCAAUGGCAGAUUGUGCUAAGUCAGGCACGUAUUAAUUUAAGAAAUGCCAGUGUUACUGAUUCAUAAAGCUUUCUAAAAAAUUGACUGGCCCAUAUUGUUUCAGAAAACAUUUUCAGUGAUCUAUCUGAAGCAAACCAUAUGGACAUUUCAGCUGAUCAGAUAGGAAUCAAAAAUAAACAUUUGGGCAGCACACUAUAAAAGCAGUUUGCCCAAAUAAAUAUGGAGAUAAUUAUUGACAAUUACUAGAGCUGGUCAAGAACAGAAUUUUAUAUUUUGGAAAAAACUUUUUUUCCUGCAUUUAUCGAAAAUGGAAAAAUUACAAAAUGAAAUAAAACCAGAAUCAAUCAAAAUCUUUCAUAUCAAUACACAAAAACAGUUCUGGUUUGUUUUGAACUUUCUUGAUUUUCCAAUGAUACAGUUUUGUUAAUAUUCAUUAUAAUAUUAACAUAUUUAUAUCUAAUAUAUUCCUAAAGUAUAUAUCCAACGUAUUUAUAUUGGAUAUUAAUUUUUCCAUGUUGGAGAAGUUAGCUUAGGUGGCUUAGGGUUUCAUCACAAGGAUUUUGUGAUGCCAUGCUUCUUUCAAAAUUACUUUUUUAGACUAGCUGUGGUCCGCCUAAUGCAUAAAUAAAUAAAUAAUUCUGCCUCUUAGACUUGAUACCUUUGUGAAGGUGCCAUUUAUUCUCCACUUAAUUAUUUCCCUUUAAAAACUGAGAAUCUUUCACAAAUUUUCAUGAAUUAGAAGCAUGAGGCUAAUAGGGUUUUCUGUGUAUCUGAUGCAGUCCCCUCCUUCCAUAGACAUAGCAUCAUGUAAUACUGUUAUAAACUUUAAAGGGAGCAAAGCUUUUUCUCCUUGCUAUUCCUAUAGGAAUGCACUUACAGAACUUGCGUGUUAAAACAUCUCACAGUUUCCAGGCUAAAUUUAUUGAUUGCCAAUUAAGAACCAUUUGUUAUUAUGCUCACAUUUUCUUUUAGUUCACAUAGCUAUCUUACGUGUUGAGCCUUCCUGCAGACAUCCAGGAUUCUUCUGGCCUUUUUCUUGCUAGACCGAACAAGCUCUCUGUCCUCUGCCUAUGAUGCUUCAUUUCGGAUAAUGCCAGCAGCCUUACGCUUCACUUAUUUCACUAUGAAUUCAAAUUGAACAUGGAUGAACAUAAUAGUGGUAGUACACUUAUUCACUGCAUAUACUGAAGAUGUUGCAGGUAUGUUUGCUUUUACUGACAAUAAAAGCUGCUCUGUAUAAUUAAGGUAGAAAACAGCUUUUCACUCUUCACUGGUUUUAAUAUUAGUUAGGGGACCUCUUGUUGGAAUGUUUAACUAUAGGCUUCUAAAGUUAUGAGAGUUCCUUAAGACUGCUUUAAAUAGUUGCUUAAAAAUGUAUCUAAAAACAAAUGAAAGGUAUGGCUGCAUAGUAAAGAUGCAUGAGAUUAUGUUUCCUGUAUUGAAAUCCAUUGUUUCAGUGGAAGAUUCCUAAAAAUUCUACUACAAGAAUUGAUGUUAGCGAACAAGCGUUGUUCGUCCAAAUGAAAGCUCAGGUGGAAGUGAAAGCCAAGCAAAAUCCUUUUCUUUUCGUGCAUCAUCACCAUCCAUAAAUAUUCCAUAAGCUCAGUUAGAGCCUAAGCUACACCUGUAAAGUUCAUUUUGCAGUGAGGUUGCAGAACUAUAAAUAAGGACAGGAAUGACUCUGCAAUUGGUAAUCCAGGUCAGAUUCUCAGUGGGUAUAAAUCAUCAGACAUUACCAACUUCAGUGGAGCUCUUCUUAUUCUUAAUACCUGCCAUGCAGUUUAUAUGCCUGCCAAUGUUUGGUGAGAGAAAAGAGAACAUAGCUCACUUUCUCAUAGGCUCUUCAAGGCUCAUGCAAUAAAAUAAUGUAUUGUUUUGACAUUAAAGUAAAGAGAUGAGAUUUGGAAUACAAAGCAGAGAUAAGAGCAGCUGAGUAGGAAGGUGACAUUCCAACAAGAUCAUUUUUUCUGGUGGCUCUGUAUUUGCAAAUUUUGAUAUAUUAUGAUCUAAAGUAGAUGGCUAAAGUUAUCAAUGCAGGAUAAAUUCUGCACUGCCAUUGUCAGAGCAGUUAUUUAUGUGCCAACAAGAUGCUAUAACAUAGAAUAUCAAUCACAGAGUAGAAUAGCUGCCAAUUCUAGUCUUCAUUUUUCUGUAUUUUAUGGAACCACUAAUUCUAUUCUACUUCUAGCUGAAUUUCUGUGUUACUGGAUUAGCAUAGCUGCAAUCUUGUGCUUUGUGUAUGCCAUAUAUUUGAAUGAGUAUAUGCUGCAAACAUAUUAUUCCUAUGAAAAUAAGUUUGUGAUUCUGUAGAACACAUUCAAAGAUGAGUUGUUGGAUUAUAACGCUUUGUAAAACUUGCAGUAUAAAAGCAUAGCCAGAGCUACUCUACGCUGAUUUGAUUCCAUAUGCUAGUUUCUCCUCAGUGAGCAUAUCUUCCUUCUUAGGUUUCCGUCCAGCUGACAGGGAUGGAACUUCCAAUGCUACUUCCUUUCUACUACCUCACUGUGAGACUGAAUCCUUCGUUCCUGGGUGGCAGCAGGAACCUUCUGUAAAAAACAGAGGUUUUUGUUCUCCAGCAAUGAAAAAAACUGUACAUAAGCUAGGUAUAUAAUUCCAUUUUUAUCUGGGCAUCAUAGUUUUAGCAAAUCAGUCUUUGAAGUAUCAUCAGAAGGGAAAAAAAUGUCAAAGUCCAGCUCUCAUAAUCAUUUUUUCAGUUCUCAAUUAAAAUUAACAUUUGCCUUUCCCUCGUGAAGCUCUUUUUUAUUUAUUCAAGUUAUUCUUGGGAAUUUGAUAUCAUUGCUGAUCUUACAAAAAAAAAAAAAUCUUUGUAAAAAGUAAUUGAAUCUAUUGUUUUUGUUUUAAGUAUAGUUUUAUUUUUACAGGAUUCACAGUCUUCACAGUCUUAAGGUGCAAGUAUAUCUUUGCACUGAAAAAAAAAAAAAAGCAGAGUGCAUUUACUAUACACUUUUAGGCAAUAUAAGACCAAAAGCAUGUACCAGAUAUACUUUGAAAUGAAAGCUUCUAUGUGCACACACAUCAGUUAUAUGGGAUUCCAAGAUCUGAACUUCAUGUGGUCUUAAUGCCCAACUAUUCCUGAGCCUCAGCAAUUAUGACCAAACAAUACAUGACUAUUCAUGGAAAACAGGUUCUUACGUCUGUUAAAGGAAUGUAAGGGCAUGUGUAGAACUACCUCAGAAUAGUAAUUGAGAUAAUGACAUAUAAAAGUUUAUCUUAUUAAGGGCUACUGGAAGACUCUUCCAACCUAGAAAUUCUGUGAUUCUGUGACUCAGGUGGGCUUCCACUUUAAAUCAAAUCCAAGGAAAUGAGUUGAUCACUUCCUGAAAAGGUUAAUCACCCAAGUCAUUUGUACUUCCUUCCCCUUGAGGGGGAAACACAAACAUUAAUAAUUCCUUCUGUUAACUACUUGUUCAGUAUCGUUUAAAUCCUUUCAACUUGCUGUGCCUAUGAAAAGUACUACAUCAGCAGCACUGGAGAGUAACUACAGUUUUUUUUUCCACAGUAUCAGGUACAAUAUGGACUGCUGCACAGUAAGCUUCUGUAAGAACCAUAUGGCUGAUUUAGAGGAGGUCAUAUAAAUUCCUAAUUAAACAUACCAAAAUUCAGUGAGAGACUAGGCUAUGUUGCUCUUUGAAAGCACUAUAAAUCAGUGUACCCUUUUGUAGAUUUUAUUAAAGUCUAAUAAAUAAAAAUAAUCUGAAGCAAGUACGGUGCUAGAAGUGCUUCUUGCCAAAGUGAGAAUAAACUAUACAAUUACCAAAUCAGGGUAAGAAUAUUUUUGUAUGUUAAUAUUGCAUUAUAAGCAGAGCAUGAUAUUAGUCAAGGUGCCAGAUGAAUAUAAUCAAUAUUGAAACUUUUAUGUAGAAGGGCAAGAAUGUAUUCCAUUUACUUUUAAAUGAAACUAAAGAAUUUGAUUAGAAGUCAUGUUUCCAGAUUAUUACCUAAUAUCUCGAGGCUCAGACAAAUGGUCACAUUAUCCACCUCAACGCUUAAACUGUAGAAUCUGUCUAAAGUGUAAACUUUAGCUCUCAGAAAAUUAGAAAGGAAAUACACUUUAACUGUUAAUAUUACAAAACUAGAAGAUGAGAAAGAUGCAAAACAGUAAGUUUUAGGGGAAUAAUUAGUUACAAAUAUAGGUGAGGUAAAGGCAAAUAUGAUACUUGAUGAUCCUUAAGGGUCCCUUCCAACUCAGGAUAUUCUAUGAUUCUAUGAUACAAGAGUGGAUAGAGUUAAGGCAUUUCAGGAAUGUGGGUGCUUUUAUUAAAGCUUAAUGUUGGACAUGAAGAGCUGGAGGAUAAGAUAAAACACAAAGUUCAACCUGCAAAUGAGAAAAUGUGAUGUGUAACAGGGAUUUAUGGCAGAAUAAUUAUCCUUGUACCUCACUUGAAAAAUAUUUAAAAGCUGGAUGUUUCCUGGGUUUUUGACUUUUAGUCUUUCCAUAGUAGCUGUUAAGCCUGGAGAGCAACAUCUUAUUGAAUUGCUGAGAAAACUUGUUUACUUAAUUUUUAUCAUAGCUUUUAACAAACUUCCAAAAAAUUGAAUGGGAAACAUGGCUUAGUAUCCAGUCAUGUGAUUCAAUCACACCAAAAUAAAAUUUAUGCUGACAUCAUCAUACAAAAAAUCCACUUUAAGCUAUAUAUAUAUAUAUAUAUAUUUUUUUUUUUUUCGAAAUGGCCACAUGCCAUGAAAUUCUCACAUAGUCAGAAAUGAAAAAGCAGUUCCUACUUCUUAGUCUGAGUCAGAAGCCUAGGGUAUCACCCUGCUUUUUUAAUGCAGAUGCAGGUGCCAACCUAUGUGAAGUCUCAGUACAAAGCCAGCUGGCACCAGACACUUGUUGACCUGCAGACCUGAGCUGGGAACUACAGGAGUCAGAUCCAGAAAAAUCAAAGUAUUCAGUUUUAAAAGAACUUUAAUGAAAAUGAAUCACAAACCAAAUGGUGCACUAUAAAUAUUUCAAGAAAGAAAUACAUAAGUAGUAUAAUUUUAUGUUCCAUUAGGAAAGAAAAGAUACUUACUGCUGGAAUCCUAAUAAACCUUACAGUGUGAAGAAGUACUAAAACAUGGAACAGCCUGUUGGGGCUAAAUUAUCUUUGUGCUUUAGAUGUUAGAUCAAGGGAAUGCUUGUCUUUGUGUAUCUAUCUGUUUUGAAGAUGGGUCCCUUUGCAAAAGUGUGAAAGUUCCUGUUAUUUAUUACAUAGUAAUAGAGUCAUAAAAUAGUUUGGGUUGGAAGGGACCUUUAAAGAUUAGAUUGGGUGUUGGACUAUACAGUCACUGGCAUAAAGGGUGUCCUUUUACAAAUACAUUAAGUGGAUGCACUAAAUUUACUAUCUUGUUUCUAAGCAGAGGUGAUCUUUGUGCUCUGCAAAAAGAUCUAUGUUUUUCCUGUUUCCUGCUAAUUUUACAGUUGGAAAAGUCUUUUUGCUCUGUUUUUACAGCAAGUUGCAUAACACAGUUUUGGUCAGUGACCAGAGCUCCUAGUUGCUGCUGAAAGUCCGUAUACUUAAUCCUCUUCUUAUAAGUUAGCUCCGUAAUAAGUUGGCAGUAUUUUUUUUACUUUUUUUAGUAAAUCAAACUGCAUAUUUAUCACUAACAAUGAUAAUAGUCAUAAUGAAAUCUCAAAAAUCUUUUCUCUGACCUCCUUGUUGGAGGUUUGAAAGUUGCAGAGUCCUACUAAUAGGCAGAUAUAGUCAGAAAUAUAUUAUUGUCUCUAAUUUUUGGCUAAAAAAUAUAUAUUUUGAAAAUACAAUGAACUUUUGCUAGAGAGGUGAUUGUUAAUAUCAAGUGUUAAAUUUUUAAUUGCAAUAAUCAAAUGCUUUGGCCUAGAAAAAAGUUUAACUCAGUAGUAAGAGCCCUUAAAAUGUAUUUAUUUGAAACACAUGGAUUUUUUUUUUUUUUUUUGACAAAAGUACUUUUCAACAGAAUUUCAGAAUAAAAAUGGAAUUUUAUCUAGUGAUAGUGAAUGAACAGGACUUUUAAGGUAAUAGAGAACAGAAAAGCAAUGUCUUUUCUGGUCAUUUUCUUAUUUUAAGAGAGUGAUUUUAAAAAACUAUGGGCUCUCAACAAAAACAAAUUUUCGUUCUUAACAGGUAGCUGGAAGAAUUAAAAGAAAGCAUAGUAAAUCUGACCAUUUCCCUGUUAAUUUUCUUCCAUUUCAGAAUCUGACUCUGUUCAAUCACUGAAGUUUUUUUUAAUUGAAGUUAUUUGAAAGAAAUGAAAAGAAUUAGAUAUUGCAGAUAGUGUUGCAGAAGUAGCACAAGAUUUUUUGGGGGGACAGUGGCUGAAGAAAAUAAACUGCGCACAUAAUUUUAUAUGUCCGUAGUGGUAUUUGAACUUGGUAUUUCAGAUGCUGUGUAGAUAAAACACUACAUCACAGGUAGAACACAACGUUAAUAGAAACAAGGUAUUUUCUUAAAUCUUCCUCCAUAAGUGUCACCUGUGUUUUCUCUGCAUGUGAACAGACAGAGGGAGAGGGAGACUGGGAGAAACUGGUCAACAAAAUAUCUUUCUGUUCCUGCCAUUCUGUCCUGACCUGACUUACUGUUGCACUUGAACAUCAAAUAGUCAUGUCUGUGUAUCACAUGCUCCUUAGAAAUGAUACUCUGAAAAUAAAACUAGACUCUGGAGAAAGAAGAGAACAGAACUGGAGAAAACUGAGGAAAACAGAACUGAUUUGGGAGGGAGGAAUCUGUCAAACAAUAUGACAUCCAAAUAAAGAAGGAAAUGUGCGAGUUACAAAAUGGAUGAUGAGGGCUUCUUCAGAGUGGAAGCACAGAGCGUAAGAGCAGCUGUAUUUUGGACAUACUGCAGUGAUGGAAGAUGAAUUUUACCAUGAGUUUCUACUGAGAGAUCUUCAUUGGUGGAAAAGCAAUUUAUGGGAUCCAAAAAGGUCUGUUCUUCCCAGAUCAUUCUCAUUUGUGAUAAUCUCCAGGUGUAUCAACUGUCAUUAGAAGGUCAUGGAAGAAGUUGGUGACAAGAAGCAAUACCUACAGUUAUCUGCUCUUGGGACAGAGAUUUUCAGGCUAACAGGGAGUCAGCUGUGGACAAAUGAUUUCUCCAGAGAAAUUACAGUGAGGUGCUAGAUAGUUUUUGAUUGGUUUUGUAGAGCAGGGUUUUGUAGAAGUGGGAUAGAGUAAUUCUCACUGUUUGAUUAGGUUCACCUCUUUGUAUUUGAAAAUAUUGCCUUCUGCCUGAGCAUCAUCCCAUUCUGCUAGCAACUUAUGUAGACUAAGUAAGAAGAAUAGGGUUUCUGAUGCCUUUUCUUUUAUUGUGAAAGAAUCCUGUUUAUGUAGGUUUGGAUCUUGUUUUGCAGUCAGCAUGCUAUAGGGCAUACUGAGAUUUAACUGCACCCCAUAAAUAGGACAAUAAAAUGCAUACAAACUAGACAAUUUAGGGAAAGAUAUAGCAAACUUAUUUAUGCAUCCUGGCAUGUCAUUUCAUGUGCUUCAUCUUUUUGGAGCCUUCCUAGAUUUACUUUUCUUUUAAUGUAUUACUCAUUCUGGAAGUGCUAUUUUUUGUGCCUUGCUUGCAGUUAAUUUUAAAGGCCUAUUUUUAACUUGUAUGGAUUGGAAAGAGAAACGAAUGGGGGAACAAGGAUAUAAGCUCCUUUUACUCCAAGGUGAGAUCUUUGAAAUCCCACUAGCCAUUUCUAAUAAACAGCAAAAAGAAGUAAUGGCAGAUUUUGUCAGGAUCAGCAUGCAAAACACUCUUAUAUUUGCUUGCUGCAGAUAAAAAACAGGCUAGUGAAUUCAAACCAAUGAAGUAAUGGAAGGACAGUUGCUAAAUGAAGAAAUACAUGAGAAAUAUAACAGACUGCCAAAAUGAAGAUAAAUGUAUUUGAAGGCUGAAAGAAUAGAGACUAAUUUCUAAUUUUAAAUUAGAAAUGCAAAUAUUCAUUUAUGUCUAAACUAUAGAUUACCAUUUCCAGUUACUUAGAUAAAUAACACAAUUCAUCCAGCUAUUUAACAGCAUCCUAGGGUGAAUUGGUGAUGAGUGAAGAGUGAGAGGUUCAGCUCAGCUUGCCUACAGUUUUAGAGUUUCUUCAAUAAGCUUUACACAACCAGUCUGAAACUGAGAAUCAGACUCUUACAGGAAAAUGAAGACAUCAAAAAUCAUUAGGCUCAACAUGUAGUCUACCAGUCACUAAUUGUCAGAAAAGAUAGCUCUAUAUUCAUAAUGACAUUAAUUAUUCUAUAACAUGAACAGAAAUCUUAUUCAAAAGAAGAUGUAGAAAAAUACAUUCUAUGGCAAGAGAUGGAUUGAGUAGGAAGCCACAGCCCUGGAAGUGGAGGAAUACAGUACUUGAAGUGAAAGAGCAAUGGCUUGAAAGAAAUGUUGAGGGCUGAUUCAGAGGCAUAUUUUUGCCAAAUAAGAUAAUUUCCAAUCCUGUACUUUGGAUAUUGUCAACUCUAUUAUUGAUUUGUAAGGAAAGAAGAUAAAACUGAAUAAAAAGUUUUGUUUGAUAAAAUCUCUCUGAGGAGUAUUAAAGUACAAUCAAAGUGGUUUUGCUCUAGACCUACCUCUGAUUUUAGUUGUUAUAUACAGCAAAUAGACAGAAGGAAUAAAACAGCAGUUUUUCAGGAGAAAUGUCUGUUUUAAUAGACUUUGUAUGCUUAGCUGUAUUUUUACUGUUUUGAACUUAGAAAGGACAGACUUUUGAGGAUAUUUCUAAAGUUUUAAUUUCAAUGAAUUAUUAUUAUUUUGAUGAAGUUUUUUUUUUUUUUUUUUUGGUAAGAACCAGUUACAUUAACUGGAUCAUAAACUCAUUUCUUGGAAGGGGUGAUUUUUCAGACUAUGGUUUUGGUAGCAAAAAAUUGAGCAGUUAAAAACAUCCACAGUAACCAGGUAAUAUAUAAUACUAAACCAAAUGAACAAAAUCUAAAAGCUGGUUUAUACACUGAAGUAAUUAGAAUAGUUCAGUAAGAGGUAAAGCAGAAUAAAAUUCCUAACAGUAGCAGUAGUUGCAAAUUGCCUAUCUAAACUUUAAUAGAAUAAAUCAUGGUAACUGAAUAUUUUCUCAAUUAACUUUACCCCCUUUUCCCAAAUUGUAAGAGAAGGGGGGAAAUGCUUACUGAAAGCCUAGCAUAGUACCAUGUGAAAUUAAGCAAAAGGUGAGAAAAGAAACAGAAAUAGUGAAUCUGUCUUAUAAUAUGUUCCACAAACCAUGAUCCUGGGACAGUAAGAGUCUGGGUUUCAGGCCUAAUUUUCAAUUUCUGUGGAGGACAUGAGAACUCAACAUAUGGCUUUUCUUUCUCAAAGCCCCAUGAAACUUUUAAAAUUAGAAAGGAAAAUUAGUCAUUUUGAAGGACAACGAUAAAUUAGAGACUGUUCAUCUUUUUUCUAGCUGUAGCUGACAAGCAGUGGUGAGAGUUACAAAAGAUCUCUUUGUACAGUCAGUCUUGCUUCCUGGAUGCACAAAUUCUUUAGACUCCUUAACACUAGGAAUACAAGUAUGGACUUUUUUGUAGGAACUGGUAGAUACAAGUAGAUAUAAAGGGCAGGGGGAUGGUAGAUACAGACCAAAAUUUUUUAGGGAAUUGGAGUCAGCUACACAAAGUUAAAAUUCUGCAAAAUGUUGGUGAUAUUUUGGUGAAUUUUGGUUACUGUUGUCCAAAAUGCCUUUCAGUCUCUCUCUUCUGUCCUUUGACUAUUGUACUUGUAUUAAACUGUAAUAUCUCCAUCCUUAAUAAAAGGUUAUUUGUAGAAGUAAUAUGUGGUUGAAUUUUUUUAAUGACUUGGGUGCCACCUGGAUUAAUUACAACAUGAAGGAAUAUUCUGGAUCAGAAGGUCUUAUACAGAAAUCAGAAAUCUAAUCUGAUAGUAACUUGUUUGUUCCUUGGGUUCAUAAUUUUAUGUUUUCUGAUUUUAAUAGUAACAUGCACUAGUAACAGAAAUCACUAUCACUUAUCCCAAUGGCAAUGGAUCGAUGGAAAAUGUGACCACAAUAUCAUUCAGUAUGAAAGCCAAACUGUGAGUAUUUGAUUGUUAUGCAAGAAAAGAGAAGAAAUAAAAUGAGGGAGUAAAAAACUAAAACUUGAAAAGGGAAGAAAUGAAAUGCUAAAACUUGCAGAAGGAGGCUGGUGUAACGUGUCAGGGAAAGAAGAUGCCUUUCUCAUCUUUUUUUAGCCUGCUGAGGCUUGGUCAUGAUCUGGCCUACUAGAAUUGAGUGUUAUUUGUGCAAGCUAAGUAAUAAAUCUGUCAGUAGAAUUUUUCUUUAAUAAAGGUAAUUUACCAUGUGUUUGAAACAUAAACACAGAAGAAAGUAUAAGACAUAAAAGGAUAGAAAUCUGAAUUAGAGCUUGAUCUGAAGUGUAUUAGAUAUACCUGCUGAAUUCAGAAAAUUAGGGACUAGACCCAUAUGCUAACCUGAAUAGACUCUGAAUUCACUUGAACAGAGUUCUGUUGUGAAAGAAAUGACCCCAUCAACAUGAUACAUGUAUAUGCCAGGCUGCAGAGCUUAUACAUUAGGAUGAAAUUCAGUGAUGUUUUUUCAGAGAUGCAGCUCAUUACUCACACCCAUGGAGUGGCCCUUGGGAUGGUUCUGAACACCCCUAGGAGUUUUAUAAAUUAGUGCACUCUGUCUCUGCCUACAGGCCAGCAGCACUGCCCAGAUCUCUGUAGAGCUACCUGCUACGGUCUUGUUUUUGAAAAACUGUCCCAUUCUGUCUCAUCUCAGGCAUAUUCCUUUACAUAGGGCUUGUGAGGGAGUUCUUAGAGAACCACUAUCAUCUGUCUAUCUCAUCAGUACUUUAUGCCAAACCAAUAAUUUUAGUUAGUUGAAAAUGAUGAACAAAAGCCUCAUCCCAGGAGAACAGUUUUGAUACCUUCACAUAUAAGGAGAAAAACUGAAUGAUACUGGUGUAUUCGUACAGCAAAGAAUAACUGUUUCUGAAUAACUUAUCAAAUAAGAUAUAAAUACUUAAAAUACAAUUGUGUAGCAGAUAGUAGAAUGGUUCAUGUUGCAAGACUAGAAACCUUGACACUUCGAGUUUAAGCUCUUGAAGAACUUGUAUGUGAAUGAUCUGGUGAGAUCAUACAAACUGCAAACAGAUCUAGGUCUCAUAUAGCCACAGUUGAAUAGUAACAUUAACACUGCUGUGGAGUGCUGUUCUCAAAAUUCUCUGCACCUCUUGGAAGAGAAAGCAAUCAUUGUAAGAGACUUUGAGCUGUAGACUCGACUGGGGUCUUGUUAAACAUUUAUUUCCCAGGCUAUCAUGAUAGAUACUAUCAAUACCUUUUGGAAAGAUUUUCUGUUUGUUGUGUGAUAUGAGCAUCAUGGACUUGUCAAAUCAGGCUGCAAAUAACAUGAUGGUAACAAAUAUCCAG